rnacentral:rRNA from 1 species
CCUACGUGUGGCAGCAGUGAGGAAUAUUGGUCAAUGGACGAGAGUCUGAACCAGCCAAGUAGCGUGAAGGAUGACUGCCCUAUGGGUUGUAAACUUCUUUUAUAGGGGAAUAAAAUGUUCCACGUGUGGGAUUUUGUAUGUACCAUAUGAAUAAGGAUCGGCUAACUCCGUGCCAGCAGCCGCGGUAAUACGGAGGAUCCGAGCGUUAUCCGGAUUUAUUGGGUUUAAAGGGAGCGUAGGUGGAUUGUUAAGUCCGUUGUGAAAGUUUGCGGCUCAACCGUAAAAUUGCAGUUGAAACUGGCAGUCUUGAGUACAGUCGAGGUGGGCGGUCUUCGUGGUGUAGCGGU